rnacentral:tRNA from 1 species
UAUAUUUAGUUGUUUAUGCAUAUAAAUUUUUGAAAUUUAAGGGUUAGUUUAAAACUAAAAAUAUAA